rnacentral:rRNA from 1 species
GAGAUGUCGUUCAAUACUGCGGGGCUUGAGGACAGCAGAGGAAGGUGGAAUUCCCGGUGUAGUGGUGAAAUGCGUAGAUAUCGGGAGGAACACCCGUGGCGAAGGCGGCUUUCUGGGCUGUUCCUGACGCUGAAGGCGAAAGCUAGAGGAGCGAACGGGAUUAGAUACCCCGGUAGUCCUAGCUGUAAACGAUGGAUGCUGGGUGUGGGGGGUGUAAAUUCCCUCUGUGCCGAAGCAAACGCGUUAAGCAUCCCGCCUGGGGACUACGGCCGCAAGGCUAAAACUCAAACGAAUUGACGGGGGCCCGCACAAGCAGCGGAGCGUGUGGUUUAAUUCGAUGCUACACGAAGAACCUUACCUGGGUUUGACAUGCACGUGGUAGGGAACCGAAAGGGGACCGACCUUCGGGAGCGUGCACAGGUGCUGCAUGGCUGUCGUCAGCUCGUGCCGUGAGGUGUCGGGUUAAGUCCCGUAACGAGCGCAACCCUUGCCCUUAGUUACAAGUGUCUAAGGGGACUGCCCGGGACAACUGGGAGGAAGGUGGGGAUGACGUCAAGUCAGCAUGGCCUUUAUAUCCAGGGCUACACACACGCUACAAUGGCCGGUACAAUAGGUUGCGAAGUCGUGAGGCGGAGCCAAUCCUCAAAGCCGGUCUCAGUUCGAAUUGCAGUCUGCAACUCGACUGCAUGAAGCUGGAGUUGCUAGUAAUCGCAGGUCAGCUAUACUGCGGUGAAUACGUUCCCGGGCCUUGUACACACCGCCCGUCACGUCAUGGAAGCUGGCAACGCCUGAAGCCGGUGGGCUAACCCGAAAGGGAGGCAGCCGUCGAGGGUGGGGCUGGUAACUGGGACGAAGUCGUAACAAGGUAACCAAGGGCGAA